rnacentral:rRNA from 1 species
UACGAAGGGGGCUAGCGUUGCUCGGAAUCACUGGGCGUAAAGCGCACGUAGGCGGGUCGUUAAGUCGGGGGUGAAAUCCUGGAGCUCAACUCCAGAACUGCCUUCGAUACUGGCGAUCUUGAGUCCGGGAGAGGUGAGUGGAACUCCGAGUGUAGAGGUGAAAUUCGUAGAUAUUCGGAAGAACACCAGUGGCGAAGGCGGCUCACUGGCCCGGUACUGACGCUGAGGUGCGAAAGCGUGGGGAGCAAACAGG